rnacentral:rRNA from 1 species
UGGGGAAUAUUGCACAAUGGGCGAAAGCCUGAUGCAGCGACGCCGCGUGAGGGAUGACGGCCUUCGGGUUGUAAACCUCUUUCAGUACCGACGAAGCGAAAGUGACGGUAGGUACAGAAGAAGCACCGGCCAACUACGUGCCAGCAGCCGCGGUAAUACGUAGGGUGCAAGCGUUGUCCGGAAUUAUUGGGCGUAAAGAGCUCGUAGGCGGCUUGUCGCGUCGGCUGUGAAAACCUGGGGCUCAACCCCGGGCCUGCAGCCGAUACGGGCAAGCUAGAAUUCGGUAGGGGAGACUGGAAUUCCUGGUGUAGCGGUGAAAUGCGCAGAUAUCAGGAGGAACACCGGUGGCGAAGGCGGGUCUCUGGGCCGAUAUUGACGCUGAGGAGCGAAAGCGUGGGGAGCGAACAG